AGUGAACGCUGGCGGUAGGCCUAACACAUGCAAGUCGAACGGCAGCACAGGAGAGCUUGCUCUCUGGGUGGCGAGUGGCGGACGGGUGAGGAAUACAUCGGAAUCUACUUUUUCGUGGGGGACAACGUAGGGAAACUUACGCUAAUACCGCAUACGACCUACGGGUGAAAGCAGGGGACCUUCGGGCCUUGCGCGAUUGAAUGAGCCGAUGUCGGAUUAGCUAGUUGGCGGGGUAAAGGCCCACCAAGGCGACGAUCCGUAGCUGGUCUGAGAGGAUGAUCAGCCACACUGGAACUGAGACACGGUCCAGACUCCUACGGGAGGCAGCAGUGGGGAAUAUUGGACAAUGGGCGCAAGCCUGAUCCAGCCAUACCGCGUGGGUGAAGAAGGCCUUCGGGUUGUAAAGCCCUUUUGUUGGGAAAGAAAUCCAGCUGGCUAAUACCCGGUUGGGAUGACGGUACCCAAAGAAUAAGCACCGGCUAACUUCGUGCCAGCCGCCGCAGUAA
rnacentral:rRNA from 1 species